rnacentral:lncRNA from 1 species
GAAGCCGGUCCUGGCUUCCUUGUCUGAAAGCUCUUUGGGACUGAAAUGGCUGUUUAUGAAUCCUUGUCAACCUCGUUCUCAGUCAACGACCAGGGAAUAAAUUAUUCGUGGAAUGACACCGUUCAUAAUUAUUAUAAGAUAAGGAAAUGGAGGUCCUGGAGGUUACAUGACUAGCCCAACAAGUAUGACAACUCCGAUAUCGGCUUGCGGUUCACUCAUUCAGUUUGCUGAUUCAGAGAUCUGUGCAUUCACUCACCUGUUCCUUCUCCAGAAAGGCCUCCCCACCCUACCACCUCCUCCUUUCUUAGUUUGGCUGUCUGUGACUCACUCAACACACAUCCCCAGACCUUUCUGGAACUCCAGGUUGGGCAGAUUGGCCUCCACAGCAACCUGUGGAUCUCUGAACACUGGGGCAAGGGCCUGGUCUCAAGCAGCUUCGUAUUCUGAGAUCAGUUUUUACUGAUUAUUGGACCAGCCAGGAUACUAACUAGUAUUUAUUCAGCACCUACUAUGUUGAGUAUAAAUAGCAUAGUAAAAGUAGGAAACACACAAUAAUACCUCAACAGAAAAAUGAGUAAACCAGCGAGGUGUCACGCCUGUAGUCCCAGCUUCUUGGGAAGCUGAGGCCGGCUAAGUUCAAGGAGGAUCGCUUGAGCAGGAGUUCCAGGCUGCAGCGCGCUAUGAUCACGCCUGCGAACAGCCAUUGCACUCCAGCCUGGGCAACAGAGCGCGACUGUGUCUCUAAAAAACAACGCAAAACAAAAAAACACUGCAGAACUUAAGCAUUUUGCUGCACUGCCCAGUGAAAUCCAUUCCAUUUGACAAAUACUGCCCUCUUAACAUUCUUAGAAUUUUUUUUUGGAGCAAGUAUUAGCGUCCCUGUUUUCAAGGAGGUGGUCAAGUAUGCACAGACAUCAGUAGUGACGUUUGCUGGAGACUUCCUUUAGACAAAAAUGAACUUAGGGACAGCACUUAAGUUAGAGGCCAAGUCUUUGGCCAAAGUAGCCUGCCAUCCUACUCCAGAGAACUGCUGUGGUUAAAAGAGGAAAAACUGUAUUCUGCGAUCAAGUAAGGCUCUAAACCCAGUAUUAGGAAAGAACAGUAGCCUUUUGUAUUAGAAAGAACACUGGCGUGGAAGUCAAAAGUUCUGGAUUCUAGUGCCAGCUAGAAUCUACCACGAUCGUGGUAGGCAAGCUGCUCCAAAACCCAGUUUCUGGUAAAUGAGAGUGAUGAUUACUAACUCACCUCACUGACUGUUGGGAAAAGCUAAGCUAUCUAAUGUACACAUUUUACCAGAUGCUACUUCAUUAUUAAUUAUUAAUGGUCUCAAAACACCAGUUGUGGCCAAGCACAGUGGGUCACACCUGUAAUCCCAGCACGUUGGGAGGCUGAGGCGGUAGAAUCACGUGAGUCCAGGAGUUUGAGACCAGCCUGGGCAACAUAGGGAGGCCCCGUCUCUUAAAAAAAAAUUAAAAAUUAGCUGGGCAUGGUGGCACACAUCUAUAAUUCCAGCUACUUGAGAGGCUGAGAUGGGAGAAUCACUGGAACCCAGAAGGUUAAGGCUGCAAUGAGCCAUCACUGUGCUACUCUACUCCAGCCUGGGCAACACAGCAAGACCCUGUGUCAAAAACCAGCACCAAAAAAGAACAUAAGUUGUUCCACAGGGCUGGUUAUUCGACGCAUAGACACAAACUGCGAUUCUGUGAAGUGUUGCUUUAUAAUAUUGGGUUAAGGAGAAGGUCAAGGCUGCAAUGAGCCAUCACUGUGCCACUCUACUCCAGCCUGGGCAACACAGCAAGACCCUGUGUCAAAAACCAGCACUAAAAAAGAACAUAAGUUGUUCCACAGGGCUGGUUCUUCGACGCAUAGACACAAACUGCGAUUCUGUGAAGUGUUGCUUUAUAAUAUUGGGUUAAGGAUGAUCUUGUCAAAAUACAGUACCCUGAAAACAACAUAUUAGGAGAGCCAGAAGUUUCCAAAGAAAGAAAGCACACCAAAGCUCUAGAGAAUUUUAAAAGUAAAAAACUUGUUUGGGGAGAAAAAAAACAAAAACAAAAAAAAGCAUUACUUAAAUCUUUGUACACAGAAACAGAGUAACCACUAGGGUAAACAAAGCAGCUAUGGCUUUAUUUCCCUCUACCUUCGUAACUUUGACAUUCUGCCUUACAGUCUAUUUUCACACAGUUUCUGUUGUUAAUGGGAGCUGAGGAACAAGGUACUGACACCUUCUUAUGGUUCAUCAAAAGAACCUUUGACUCUGAAAGGAUCUUGGAUAGGAUCAUCUCUCCAAACUUCCUAUUCAUGGAUCUUCUGACAUUCAGUUAGCCAGCCUCUUUUCUAACACUCUCUAUUAAAGUUAAGUCACUAGCCUGUAAUCCCAGCACUUUGGGAGGCCGAGGCCGGUGGAUCACCUGAGGUCAGGAGUUCCAGACCAGCCUGGCCAUCAUGGUGAAAUCCUGUCUCUAGUGAAAAUACAAAAAUUAGCCAGUUGUGGUGGUGCACACCUGUAAUCCCAGCUACUUGGGAGGCUGAGGUGGGAGGAUCCCCUGAUCUGGGGAGGCAGAGGUGACAGUGAGCUGAGAUCACACCACUGCACUCCAGCCUGUGCGACAGAGGGAGACUCCGUCUCAAUAAAUAAAUAAAUAAAUAGCUGGGCGUGGUGGCUCACGCCUGUAAUCUCAGCACUUUGGGAGGCUGAGGCAGGUGGAUCACUUGAGGUCAGGAGCUUGAAACCAGCCUGGCCAACGUGGUGAGACCCUGUCUCUACUAAAAAUACAAAAAAUUAGCCAGGUUUGUUGGCGUGCUCCUGUAAUGCCAGCUACUUGGGAGGCUAAAGUGGGAGAAUCACUUAAACCCGGGAGGUGAAGGAUGCAGUGAGCCAAGAUAGCACCACUGCACUUUAGCCUGGGCUACAAGAGC